rnacentral:piRNA from 1 species
UGAGAUGAUUCAGUGUCCCAAUGUAGCCU